GGGAGGAGGGCCAGGGAGGCCAACCCCUCUGAUUGAUCUUCAUCUACUUUCUAAGGACACCUCUUCACCAAGGGGAACCCUUUCCAGGUGGUUGGGAUGGGAGUGAAUCACCAACGAACCAGAUUCCCUUACAACAAUGACUGGAUCCAGGACGAGCACAUGGCAGAGCCUGGGGAAGAAGGGUCUUUCCAGGGAAUUUUCUGCUAGAUCUUUUCAGUUUCAAUACCCCUGGUCAACUGAAGUCUGGAAGCAGAUGAACUUCCUUCUGAUGCAUGAUCAGAAGGUCAAUAGUAGUCUGACCCUACAUCACAGUGCCAAGCUCUUCACCUCACUUCAUCUCACCAUGUCUGAUAGCAGUUUGGUAAUUUGGUGAGAUGAGAAUGCGGCUCCCUGGGACAUCUGACUCUUCAGCAGUCACCUGCUUAUCUUCUCUCUGCACAAGCCUCACUUCCCAGGGGAUCUCAGAGACUGGGGUAAAGACUAAUUUACCAUGAGAUUAAGGCUGUUACCUUCUUAAAAGAAGGAAGCCAACUUCAUAUCCCUGGCAUGUAUUACCUAACACUCUGGAAGCAAUGAAUAGAUCCAGCUCGGGUCUGUGUGCCCAUAACUGCGGUGCGGCACAGCCUGUGCUGAAAGAGCCUGCAACAGCUUGGAAGGUCAACAGUUUUCCUGGGAACAAGGCAAUAUGCUGCUAAGGAUUAUCUCAUCAGCACCAGAAUAGGCUCAAGUGCCCAACUAACUAAAAAAUUUAAUUAAAACCCCAACAGUGUGUUUCCACAUGCAAAGACUAAGGGAAGUCUGUAGGGAGGUGAGCUUUCUUCAAGCAUGCCUCUCGAGGACAUAUAUUUGAACAUGCCCAAAAUAGAAAAGGCAAAUCAGAAUAUAUAUAUGCUUUAAAUAGAUGAAGCUCUUGUUAUAUGCGAAAGAAAAUGGUGUUUUAGCAGUGUCUCAAUUCUCCAUUUCUUUUAGGAUGUCAAGAUGCCAUCCAUGUAAGUUUUACAGUAACUUUAUCUUGUAUUCAACAUUGAUAAGCAUUCUUUUAAAAAUACAAAAUAUUUAUGUAUUAGGCUAAGUGAAAGAAAGUCUCAAAUGGGUAUACACUGUAUGAUUCCUUCUUUGUACCAUUUUGGAAAGGCAAAAAUAUAAACAGUACAGAUAAGUGGUUGCCAACAUUUGGGGUAGAGAGAGCUUGAAGGUAUUCUUCAGGAUAUUAAAAUUAGUCUGUAUCUUGCCUACAGUGGUGGUUAUAAGAAUCCAUGCAUGUGUAAAAACUCAUUAACCUACACAUUAUAGAAGUAAAUUUCGCUGUACAGAAAACUUUUUAAUUGGUUUAGAAAUCAUUUGAGUGUCUACUGUGUAUAUUAUGAUAGGGAAAUUCUCCUUGCUAUUAUAAUGCUGGAUAUUCAGGCUCUAGUCUUAGUCAGCAUCACUAUAGCAUUAUUACUUGAACAUCAUUAGAAGACUAUGCCAGCAUUACAAUUUCCAGCACUGUUACAACAUCAUUACUUCAGUGUCACCUGAGCUCCAUUAGCCUCUUACUUAAAUAAUAUAACUCAAGCUAGAGUAACUAAUGGUUGGUGUGAAGCAUCUACUUUUCCCAUUUUCCUGACUUUCACUCUGUUUCUCUAGCUUUUCAGCCAUGAUUUUUGAAUACACAGCUAAGCAAGAUACAUAAAUUAAUCUUCAUUACCUUACAGCAAAAGGAUAUGCCUCACCACAAACUCUUAGCUUUUCCUUCACUCUUCCUUCUUUAAAAGAAUAACCAGAAAUUGUAAGGAAUUCUUAUUUGCACAUUUUUGAGAAACAAUUUGUCCUGUAAAUGGGCAUCAAUGAUGCUAUGGUAUAUGUAUGUGGAGGGCAUUAAGCUGAGUUAAAUGAGCCUGACAGAAAAAGACAAAUACUGUAUGGUGUCACUUCUGUGAGGAUCUUUUUUUUUUAAGCUGAUUUCAUAUGGAUGAUAGACUGGUGGUUGCCACA